GGGGUGACUGCGUACCUUUUGUAUAAUGGGUCAGCGACUUACAUUCAGUGGCAAGGUUAACCGAAUAGGGGAGCCGUAGAGAAAUCGAGUCCGAAUAGGGCGACAGUCGCUGGGUGUAGACCCGAAACCAAGUGAUCUACCCAUGGCCAGGAUGAAGGUGCGGUAACACGCCCUGGAGGUCCGAACCCACUAAUGUUGAAAAAUUAGGGGAUGAGCUGUGGGUAGGGGUGAAAGGCUAAACAAACUUGGAAAUAGCUGGUUCUCUCCGAAAACUAUUUAGGUAGUGCCUCAAGUAUCACCAUCGGGGGUAGAGCACUGUUAUGGCUAGGGGGUCAUUGCGACUUACCAACCCAUUGCAAACUCCGAAUACCGAUGAGUGCGAGCUUGGGAGACAGACAUCGGGUGCUAACGUCCGGUGUCAAGAGGGAAACAACCCAGACCGCCAGCUAAGGUCCCAAAGAUUGGCUAAGUGGAAAACGAAGUGGGAAGGCUAAAACAGUCAGGAUGUUGGCUUAGAAGCAGCCACCAUUUAAAGAAAGCGUAAUAGCUCACUGAUCGAGUCGUCCUGCGCGGAAGAUGUAACGGGGCUAAGCCAGUCACCGAAGCUGCGGAUAUAUUUCUCGUGAUUUAUCACUUGAUCUAUAUGGUAGGAGAGCGUUCUGUAAGCCUGCGAAGGUGUCUUGUAAAGGAUGCUGGAGGUAUCAGAAGUGCGAAUGCUGACAUGAGUAGCGAUAAUGCGGGUGAAAAGCCCGCACGCCGUAAGCCCAAGGUUUCCUGUUCAACGUUCAUCGGAGCAGGGUGAGUCGGCCCCUAAGGCGAGGCAGAGAUGCGUAGCUGAUGGGAAGCAGGUUAAUAUUCCUGCACCGUCGUAUGAUGCGAUGGGGGGACGGAUCGCGGAAGGUUGUCUGACUGUUGGAAUAGUCAGUUUUUGACUCAUANACUCAUAGAAGGUACUUAGGCAAAUCCGGGUACGUAAUUCAAGGGGUUGAGACGAGUCGCCAUGUGCGAUGAAGCAAUCGGAAGUGGUUCCAAGAAAAGCCUCUAAGCUUCAGUCAUACGAGACCGUACCGCAAACCGACACAGGUGGGCGAGAUGAGUAUUCUAAGGCGCUUGAGAGAACUCGGGAGAAGGAACUCGGCAAAUUGGUACCGUAACUUCGGGAUAAGGUACGCCCUAGUAGUUUGACCACUUUACUGUGGAAGGAUGAACGGGUUGCAAUAAAAUGGUGGCUGCGACUGUUUAAUAAAAACACAGCACUCUGCAAACACGAAAGUGGACGUAUAGGGUGUGACGCCUGCCCGGUGCUGGAAGAUUAAAUGAUGGGGUGCAAGCUCUUGAUUGAAGUCCCAGUAAACGGCGGCCGUAACUAUAACGGUCCUAAGGUAGCGAAAUUCCUUGUCGGGUAAGUUCCGACCUGCACGAAUGGCGUAACGAUGGCCACACUGUCUCCUCCCGAGACUCAGCGAAGUUGAAAUGUUUGUGAUGAUGCAAUCUACCCGCGGCUAGACGGAAAGACCCCAUGAACCUUUACUGUAGCUUUGCAUUGGACUUUGAAUCAAUCUGUGUAGGAUAGGUGGGAGGCUUUGAAGUAGGGACGCCAGUCUCUAUGGAGCCAUCCUUGAAAUACCACCCUGGUUCAUUUGAGGUUCUAACCUUGGUCCGUUAUCCGGAUCGGGGACAGUGCAUGGUAGGCAGUUUGACUGGGGCGGUCUCCUCCUAAAGUGUAACGGAGGAGUUCGAAGGUACGCUAGGUACGGUCGGACAUCGUGCUAAUAGUGCAAUGGCAUAAGCGUGCUUAACUGCGAGACCGACAAGUCGAGCAGGUACGAAAGUAGGACAUAGUGAUCCGGUGGUUCUGUAUGGAAGGGCCAUCGCUCAACGGAUAAAAGGUACUCUGGGGAUAACAGGCUGAUUCCUCCCAAGAGUUCAUAUCGACGGGGGAGUUUGGCACCUCGAUGUCGGCUCAUCACAUCCUGGGGCUGUAGCCGGUCCCAAGGGUAUGGCUGUUCGCCAUUUAAAGUGGUACGUGAGCUGGGUUUAAAACGUCGUGAGACAGUUUGGUCCCUAUCUGCCGUGGGCGUUGGAAAUUUGAAGGGGGCUGCUCCUAGUACGAGAGGACCGGAGUGGACGAACCUCUGGUGUACCGGUUGUCACGCCAGUGGCAUUGCCGGGUAGCUAAGUUCGGAAGAGAUAACCGCUGAAAGCAUCUAAGCGGGAAACUUGCCUUGAGAUGAGAUUUCCCGGAGCCUUGAGCUCCUUGAAGGGUCGUUCGAGACCAGGACGUUGAUAGGCUGGGUGUGGAAGUGCAGUAAUGCAUUAAGCUAACCAGUACUAAUUGCCCGUAAGGCUUGUCCCUAUAACCUU
rnacentral:rRNA from 1 species